ensembl:lincRNA Gm14340 predicted gene 14340
AGAAAGGCUGCUGCACCAGGAACAAAAUAAGGUGAAUUCUAGACACAUGUGAGGAGCAGGCAGAAGACAGCAUGCUAGAGAGCAGACAUUUCAUUGUAUCUACACCGUAAAAUUGCAACUGUGUAUCCCUCAGAGCUGAGGUGUGCCACCUACGUGAACUGCAAGGCAGCCACAGCCCUGCCCUCUGUGUCCUCAUCCUGGAAGAGGGUUGCUUUGUCCAUCUGGAAAUCUCUUAGAAUUCCAUGUCUGUGGGAGGCAGAGGAGAACGCAGAGCUGGAAGGUGAUAUGCGGCUUCUGCCUGGAGACUCCGCCCCACCCCAGACUUCCUGUGUCUUCUGUGAAGAGGUGAUGAAUCCACUGAGUGGCACUGAAGCUGUGAGUCUGCAAUCAUGGAUACCACUGCAGAAGAGGUUUCCUUGUCCUUCACAGCCAGCAGGAGCAUGGAUCAUAGACUGCCGCAUGAGCUCUAAUGACAGCAAGGGCCAGGGACAUCCAUCUGGCCUCCGGCACCAGCACAUGCCACAGACCUCAGCAUGGUUUCUGGUGAUAGUACAAGCCACUAACAGACAUCAAUUCAGCCUCCAGCUGCAGCAGGACCAUGGACCCCCAGUAUGGCCCUUGUCAGCAGCACAGACCACAGACAUCUGUGUGGCCUUUAGUGGUACCAUAGGCCAUAGACAUUAACAUGGCCCCCAGUGCAGUACAGAGCAUGGCCUCAGGUGGCAGCUCAGGCUAUUCCCAUUUGCAUGGUCCCCAGAGGCACCAUGGCUCAUGGACAUCAACAUGUCAGCCUGCUUUCUUUUAGAAAACCCAGGACCACCUGCCCAGGGAUAACAUCAACCACAAUGGGCUGGGCUAUCCCCGUCAAUCACUACUUAAGAAAAUGCUUACAGGCUUGCCUACAGCUCGAUCUUAUGGAGGCAUUUUCUUAAUUGAGGUUCCCUCCUCUCAGAUGACUUUAGCUUGCAUCAAGUUGACACAAACUAUAUAAUACACUGGCCAUCUCCUCAGCCACAAGCAACAGAGGGCUGUCAUGCUGAGGAAGCACGGUUCAGCUCCAGACCAGCUAGCAAUUCCUCUUCCAGCAGCAAGCUCUUCUGACUUUAGGAAUGCCCAUCAGACCCAGGCUGCCUGUGCACUGACACGAAUGUGUUAUCUGUCUGUCCAUCCCCCAACACACACAUCUUAGGGUUACUGUUGCUGUAAUGAAACACUAUGACCAAAAGCAACUUGGAGAGGAAAGGGUUUAUUUCAUUCACAGCUCCAUGAAACAGUUCAUCAAAAGCAGUGAGGGGGGAACUCAAGCAGGCAGGAACCUGGAGGCAGGAGCUGAUGCAGAGGCCAUGGAGGGUGCUGCUGACUGGCUUGCUGCUCAUAGCUUAAUCAAUCUGCUUUAUUAUUAUUAUNNNNNNNNNNNNNNNNNNNNNNNNNNNNNNNNNNNNNNNAACUCUCAGCUCCUCCUGCACCAUGCCUGCCUGGAUGCUGCCAUGUUCUUGCCUUGAUAUUUAAUGCACUGAACCUCUGAGCCUGUAGGCCAGCCCCAGUUAAAGGUCCUUACAAAAGUUGCCUCGGCCAUGAUGUCUGUAUACAGCAGUAAAACCCUAAGACAAUUAUUAUUAUUAUUAUCCUUUUGAGACAAGGUUUCUCUGUGUAGCCCUGGAUGUCCUAGAACUCACUCUAUAGACCAAGCUGGCCCUGAACUCAGAGAUUCACCUGCCUCUGACUCCCAAGUGCUGGGAUUAAAGAUGUACACAUACC